GAGUAACAUCAACUGGAGGACCGAACCCACUGUCGUUGAAAAGCCAGGGGAUGACCUGUGGAUAGGAGUGAAAGGCUAAUCAAACUCGGAGAUAGCUGGUUCUUCGCGAAAGCUAUUGAGGUAGCGCCUCGUAAUAGACUUCUGGGGGUAGAGCACUGUUUCGGCUAGGGGCCCAUCCCGGGUUACCAACCCGAUGCAAACUCCGAAUACCAGAAAGUUGUUUUACGGGAGACACACGGCGGGUGAUAAGGUCCGUCGUGGAGAGGGAAACAGCCCAGACCGCCAGUUAAGGUCCCUAAAUAUUACUAAGUGGUAAACGAUGUGGGAAGGCUUAGACAGCUAGGAGGUUGGCUUAGAAGCAGCCAUCCUUUAAAGAAAGCGUAAUAGCUCACUAGUCGAGUCGGCCUGCGCGGAAGAUUUAACGGGGCUAAGUAAUAUACCGAAACUGCGGGUUCAUAAUUUAUUAUGAGCGGUAGCGAAGCGUUCUGUAGGCCGGUGAAGGUGACCUGAGAGGGUUGCUGGAGGUAUCAGAAGUGAGAAUGCUGACAUGAGUAACGACAAAGGGGGUGAGAAUCCCCCUCGCCGGAAGUCCAAGGUUUUCUACGCAACGUUCGUCGACGUAGAGUGAGUCGGCCCCUAAGGCGAGGCAGAAAUGCGUAGUCGAUGGGAAUCAGGUUAAUAUUCCUGAAC
rnacentral:rRNA from 1 species